AUUCUUCUCUGUUCUCUGGUGAAUAUCGACGAUCCUUUUCAUGCUGCGCUCAAGUACGCGCAACAUUUCCUAGCCCUACGGUCGUAUUUAUGCACUCGUCUGACUGUUUUGGCGAGAAGAAAGAAAAGCGACGACAAGAGUGAGGACUCAAGCGACGGAGAGAAUGAAAGAGAAGAAGCAAGACAAUGCCAAGCCACAUUCAGCACGUGUUACAACAGCGUGGCUUCGUACAAAAAGUGUGCGGCUACUUUCCUGGCCCGCCUGCAGUCCAGACCUGUCUCCCAUCGAAAAUGUGUGGCGCAUUAUGAAGCGGAAAAUACGACAGCGGAGAUCCCGGACUGUUGAAUGACUGAAGAUCUACAUAAAACAAGAAUGAGAAAGAAUUCCACUUUCAAAGCUUCAACAAUUAGUUUCCUCAGUUUCCAAACGUAUAUUGAGUGUUGUUAAAAGAAAAGGUGAUAUAACACAGUGGUGAACAUGCCCUUUCCCAACUACUUUGGCACGUGUUGCAGCCAUGAAAUUCUAAGUUAAUUAUUAUUUGCAAAAAAAAAUAAA